rnacentral:tRNA from 1 species
AAAGUGUUAGUUAAAUUAAUAACAUAGAUAUGUCAUAUCUAGAUUAUAAUAAAAUUAUACUCUUUA